rnacentral:rRNA from 1 species
CUACGGGUUGCACCAGUGGGGAAUAUUGGGCAAUGGAGGCAACUCUGACCCAGCAACGCCGCGUGAAUGAUGAAGGUCUUCGGAUUGUAAAGUUCUGUGAGGAGGGACGAACAAAUGACGGUACCUCCUGAGGAAGCCACGGCUAACUACGUGCCAGCAGCCGCGGUAAUACGUAGGUGGCAAGCGUUGUCCGGAAUGACUGGGCGUAAAGGGAGCGUGGGCGGUCUGUCAAGUUAGAAGUGAAAUCCCGUGGCUUAACCACGGAACUGCUUUUAAAACUGAUGGAGUGAGUGAUGGAGAGGAAAGCGGAAUUCCUAGUGUAGCGGUGGAAUGCGUAGAUAUUAGGAGGAACACCAGUGGCGAAGGCGGCUUUCUGGACAUUAACUGACGCUGAGGCUCGAAAGCGUGGGGAGCAAACAGGAUUAGAUACCCGUGUAGUC